UCAUUGUGUUUGUUCGAUUGGUGGACAAAAGCGUGAAAGACAGGUGCAAAAAUAAAACCUCUUUUGCACCCCGAACUCAUUCUUCAGUAUAAGUUUUGGUAUAUACAAGAAGGAAUAUG
rnacentral:snoRNA from 1 species